CCCCGUGGUGGAUUGUCUCUUUUCACGGGCUACAAGGAUUCAAUAAAGGGAUGGGUAGAGAAUUUCCUUGUGGUGGAGCUGAGAAAAGAUGUCGACGUAUCGUGGGGAGUGGGGCUAGACUGGGAGGAUGUCCCCCCGGGCAUCAACGACCUGCCCCAACUAAGCCUCACCGAGCAGGUGGGGUAUCUUCGACUGACUUCUGUUGACAAGAAGUAUGACGUCGAGAGAUGUAUGUUCGUGUCUAAUCUUAGGGAUAUCCGUGACACGGGUAUAAUGCCUUGCUUAGCAACUCCGCUUUUCCUCGUAAGUGACAUUAGAAAGUACGCUAACUCUUUCUGACUUUGUGUUUUUUGGCAGCUUCUAAC
rnacentral:lncRNA from 1 species